AACCAGCUCUUCAAGUGGUCGGGAUUAUUAUUGGGCUUAAAGUGUUCGUAGCCUGUUUAGUAAGUUCCUGGUUAAAUCGGAUAGCUUAACUAUCUGUCUGCUAGGAAUACUACUAUACUAGGGGGCGGGAGAGGUCUGAGGUACUCCAGGGGUAGCGGUGAAAUGCUAUAAUCCUUGGGGGACCACCAGUGGCGAAGGCGUCAGACUGGAACGCGCCCGACGGUGAGGGACGAAAGCCAGGGGAGCGAACCGGAUUAGAUACCCCCGUA
rnacentral:rRNA from 1 species